CACAAGGGGUGAAGCCUGCGGUUCAAUUGGCGUCAACGCCGGAAAUCUUACCGGGGGCGACAGCAGAAUGAAGGUCAAGCUGAAGACUUUACCAGACAAGCUGAGAGGAGGUGCAUGGCCGUCGCCAGCUCGUGCCGUGAGGUGUCCUGUUAAGUCAGGU
rnacentral:rRNA from 1 species